rnacentral:rRNA from 1 species
UACAGAGGUCUCAAGCGUUGUUCGGAUUUACUGGGCGUAAAGGGCGCGUAGGCGGCCAGCACAAGUCAGUUGUGAAAUCUCCGGGCUUAACUCGGAAAGGUCAACUGAUACUGUGCGGCUAGAGUGCGGAAGGGGCAACUGGAAUUCUCGGUGUAGCGGUGAAAUGCGUAGAUAUCGAGAGGAACACCUGCGGCGAAGGCGGGUUGCUGGGCCGACACUGACGCUGAUGCGCGAAAGCCAGGGGAGCGAACGGG